UGCAUUCUUGCCUUGCCAGCAGGUGCAGAUGAAAACCCUUGCUAUGUGAUAUAGAGGCUUUAGAAAGUCCAGUGCCAGAAAUGCACAGGUGAAAGAAGAUGAAUAGCUGAACUGAGAUCCAAAGAAGCUUUAUUCAAAGAUACAAGCUAAAACAGUUGUACAGUUUUAAGUAAUUUGUAACAGAGGAAAUGGAGUAGAAUACGGGAAAUGCAGCACUACUUUUGAAAUUUAUUAGUAUUUCUAAGGGAGCUUUAAACUGUAAGUUAUUCAGGAAACUCAGUGGUCAGAAUGUCCUACACUGGAGAUGUCUUGCUGGGAUUAAGGGAUGCAUCUGUGCCCUGAAAACCUGUUAUGUCCAGAGCAGGCUAGGGUCUGCCAAAGGUAUGGAUGUCUUGCUAAACAAGGAAGAAGUCUGAAACAGCAAGGAACGAAGUACCAACUUUCUGGUUUCAAGCAAUGAAGAGGCUGAUAAGAAGAUGGAUGAAUACAAGUGCCAAAGUGUCUGCUGCCCUGUGAUAAAGAAAUUGUGGGGCAAGUUGUUGCAUCUAGGAAGGCUGCAGAUGAGAUGCACCCAGGAGCUGUGGUCUUCUGGUGAGACUUUCUACUGCUUUGAAUUGUGAGGUUUUCUGCAGAGGGAUUUCUUACUGUGGAAGGACUAAGCCAUGUCAGUUCCAUCAAGUGCUGCCUAUGGACCUGGCUGUUUCUGGAAACAGGAGAGGAUGGAAGUCAUGUUUUUGUAAAGGGCUGUGCUGCUGUGGGCGUGAUGAUUGAGACAUUCAUAUUUGUGUGUGGAAUACGUCUAACAGUGUGUUCAGAUGUUACUCCAUCUCCUUCAGUCUACAGGCUGAUCUCUAAAGAUGAGGAGGAUUUGGAAAUGUGCCUUAUCACAGAUUACUCCCCUGAAAAGCUUAAGAGUAAGGCAGCUGAUAAGCAGACAAAUGCCCUCGUGGAGGUGGCAACACCCGAGAACAAUCAGGAAGUGAGCUACCUGUCAACCUAUUGGGCCAAGAAAGAUGAAAUGCAGUGUGGUGCAAAUCAUGAGGGCGUUGGAGAACUGAAGGGCGAGGAUCCUGAAAGUGGUGCCAGCACUGUCUGUGUUACAGAGGUGUCUCUAAACUUCAGGACAGAUGAAAACCUGAACAUGCUGUCUUUAUCACAGCUGGGCCUAAAAAUAAUUUUAAUGAAAGGAAUAAUUUUUAAUGUGCUGAUGACGAUGCUUAUGUGGAAAAAAAAGAAUGCAAGUAAUCAGAUAGUCCAGUCCUGAAUUACCAAAAAAUCUGCUGAGGAAUCUUUACCAGAGCAUCGUGUGCAAGAGGGAACACAGACAUUCCUGUUGCAAGGGAUAUCACUUGCUGUUUCUGUAUGUCACACCAGCCAUUAUAGUCUAAAUUGCUUUAUUUGCAUUGUUAUAAAGCUACUUAAAAACAAGCUUAAAAUUUUCAGCAUUCUGCUGCUCCAGAUGCCUGAUUCAUUUAGCAUGACAAUGCCUCUUUUUGCAUGAAGCAUAGUUUGAUGUAACUAUAAAUUGCAAAACAUCACUAUUAUUUGCGUUAAAAUGACACACAAUUUCUGCUUGGGGCAGUGUUCUUUGUUGAAAACUGCAAGCUAAAUAUCACUUGAAUGGUAAUUUUUCAUAUUUUGGUAGCUUUCAGGUAUGCACUCCUUACAGUGCACCCCCACAGACACCAUUUCAGCUGCAAAUGAAACACUCACUCUGAAAAGCAAAGGGAGACUUAUUCAGGGUGCUAUGCACCAUGUCCUGCUAUCUUUUGCUAGAUCAGAGCAAGGUAUCUUUUUUUUUUCCCUAAAAGAUACGCUGCUAGUUCUCCCAGAAUUCCUGAAUUCAGUGAAAUUCUCACUUCAUUAUCACAGAACAAAAGAAUGUUUUUUGGUAUUUUUUAGAGUCUACCUGGCCAUAACAUUUUCUGAAUUUAAACCAGCUUAAGAUUUGGCUUUGCAUUUAGUAAAAAUACAAGCUACUUUUGUUCUUUUUGUUUAGUUCUAACAACCUUAUAUUUCCCAAUUUCUUUUUGUAAUCUUUGCAUAAAACUAUGCUGAAAUAUUUACCUGUCCAUGUGUGCACUCCUUGGAAACAGUGCAAGCAUGUGAAAUUCGCAUGCUGCUAAUUCUUGAAUUGUACUGGCAACCACACUGAUGUCUUCGCAUUUCUUUAGGCCUUUGGCUGCUAUUAAAAAAUUCUUAUAAAAAAAUAAGAAACUUGUUUGUCUUUUAGUGUGUAGUUUGAGGAACUUGUUUUACCCUUCUGAUGAGCUUUAGGAAUGAGCCUGGCUUUUGGGGUGAAGGAGGGAAGGGGAGUCCCGACUAUCUUCUUCAGCCUGACUUGGCCACCAGGUGCUGUUUGCAAUAACUGGCUGGAUCCACUGCGGGGUGGGGAAUAGCUACAAAGUCCCUGUCUGGGACAUCCUUGCUGUGUCUGGAUGAGAACAGCAUGGCUGGCUCGGAGGGAGGGAAAUGGAGGAGAGCACCUCUCCUCCAAGAGUAGACUCUGCUAUGUGAAGACAACAGUAAAAUAUGGCUUGCCCACAGUGAGAGGACUAGUAAGCAGUCCAGGUUCUUGAAGGCAGAUGUCUACUGCUAUGGGGAACACAGGAGCCUGAAGUGUCCUGCCUCUCAAUGUCCCCCACUCCCAAGCGUCACUGGAGAACAAGGUACCUGCUUUGCAUUAAUGACACCAACUGACAGCCUAUGUCUCCAGGUUCAGUCUGUCACUGGCAAGACUGGAAAGGAAAUUUUCUCCUUUCGUGACGCUGAUUUCUCUGUCUUCAGAAGCAGCAGCAGAGAUUUCUCUGGAAUGAGAAAUGAGAAGGGUGCUCUGAAAGAAACACAACCUCCCUUAAAAGCUUGAACCUCACACCACUGCCUAAACUGGGUGGCAGGGAAAGCCUCACCAGACUGGUGGGGGUGAUUCCCCCUUACAGGAUAUGUCUCACCCUGCUCGAUUCACAGCCAUUGCAAAGAACUCCGAUUUUGGAAAGGCUCAUGUUUGAAAUGCUUUUAGCCAAAAG